rnacentral:rRNA from 1 species
GAUGAACGCUGGCGGCGUGCCUAAUACAUGCAAGUCGAGCGAAUGGAUUAAGAGCUUGCUCUUAUGAAGUUAGCGGCGGACGGGUGAGUAACACGUGGGUAACCUGCCCAUAAGACUGGGAUAACUCCGGGAAACCGGGGCUAAUACCGGAUAACAUUUUGAACCGCAUGGUUCGAAAUUGAAAGGCGGCUGCGGCUGUCACCUAUGGAUGGACCCGGGUCGCAUUAGCUCGUUGGUGAGGGAACGGCCCACCAAGGCAACGAUGCGUAGCAGACCUGAGGGGUGGAUCGGCAACACUGGGACUGAGACACGGCCCAGACUCCGACGGGAGGCAGCAGUAGGGAAUCUUCCGCAAUGGACGAAAGUCUGACGGAGCAACGCCGCGUGAGUGAUGAAGGCUUUCGGGUCGUAAAACUCUGUUGUUAGGGAAGAACAAGUGCUAGUUGAAUAAUCUGACACCUUGACGGUACCUAACCAGAAAGCCACGGCUAACUACGUGCCAGCAGCCGCCGUAA